GGCAAUAAUUCAUAUCAUCACUCCAAUUUAAUUAAUCAUUCAGUAAAAAGAAAAUCUACUCCCACUUUUAAAAAGUAGUUUACUUUUAUAUCACACCAUUUCUUCAUAUCUCAUCCCAUAUUAUUGCAUUUGAGCUAAGAGAAGUUGAAGAAAAAACACUUGAAGGGAAAAUGAUGGAGGGCAAUACAGUGGCUUGCUUCAUCUUGCUAUUUCUUCUUUUUCUUCAUAUGUUUGCUGAAGGAAGAAUUGAAUCUUCCAUGAGCGAAAUUGUUGUGAAGAGGAAACAAAUUGAAACGAAUGAUUCUAAUGAAGCGACAUCAAGUAUAGUACAAAAUCCCAUCAUAAAAAUGGUGACCACAAUUAGAGAUAACAUACAAACUUCCCAAGAUGAUGAAUUUCCAAUGAAGAACAAUAAUAAGCAUAAUGAUCACUCUUCUUCUUCUUCAUCUCAUAUGAAUCACAAUAUAAACCCUUUACUCAUGGUUUUCUUCACAAUCAAUGACCUAAAAGUUGGGAAAAAGCUCUCAAUUUAUUUCCCUAAAAGAGACCCUUCAAAAUCCCCUCCAUUUUUACCAAAAGAAAAAGCUGAUCAAAUCUCUUUCUCCUUCAAACAACUCCCGCAAAUCCUGUCUUCUUUCCAUUUCCCUUCAAAUUCCCCUCAAGCUCAAGCAGUCAAAGAAACCCUCCAACAAUGUGAGUUGAAACCCAUCAAAGGAGAGACCAAAUUUUGUGCAACUUCAAUGGAAUCAAUGUUGGAUUUUGUAAGAACAUCCUUAAUAAUUCCUACAAAAUCUUCUCCAUUAUCAUCAUCAUUCAAACUUCUCAAAACUUCACAUCUCACAAAAUCCAAUGUCCAUUUACAAAAUUACACAAUCUUUGAUACUCCAGAGUUAAUUUCAGCUCCUAAGCUCGUGGCUUGUCACACUAUGCCCUAUCCUUAUGCUAUUUAUUAUUGUCAUUACCAAGAAGGAGAUAAUAAUGUAUUGAAAAUUGCCUUGGAAGGUGAAAAUGGAGAUAGAGUUGAUGCUUUGGCAAUUUGUCAUAUGGAUACCUCUCAAUGGAGCCCAACACAUCCUUCCUUUCAAGUCCUUAAACUUCAACCAGGAGACAUGCCCAUUUGUCAUUUCUUUCCUGCUGAUGAUUUUGUUUGGAUUCCAGCUCCUUAAAGCCCUAAUAAUUAUAUAUGCUGUAAUAUUUCAAUUUCUCUUUUUAAUUUCAAAAAAAAAAAAAAGUGAUAAUAUAUAUAAUAGGAUAUAUGUAAAGUUAGUUGUGAAGAGAUGAGAGUAGGAGAUCAGAGGUUUGAAUACUCCUAUCCUAUCUCAUGUUUGUUUUGAGUUAGGUAAAUAUAAAAUAAAAGUAUGAUGGGUGUGUUCAUAUGAUCAUGUAAUAGCAUGUUUAUAACAUGUAUGGGUGUAGAUCUAUGAUUAUUAUGUAAUAAUGUAUUAAUAUUAUAAUGUAAUAUUAGCAUAAAUUUUGGUAA